AGGUGCCCUCCCUUCUUUCUUUCCUUCUUCUUGCCACAGCUGGAAUGUGGAUGUGAUGGUGGGAGCCAGAGCAGCCAUCUGACACCACAAGAUGGAAGCCAUAUAUAUUGAGAACAGCAAAGCAAAAAGAUAGGAGGAAACCGGGGGUCCAACACCAAAGCACACGUACCAACUCUGAAAAGCUUAUGCUCAGACUGUUAACACCAGAAAAAUAAAAUUCCACUUUCGUGUCCCUUUUACACAGCAGCCUUAACUGUAUCUUAACUAAUACCUACCCAUUUGCAAUUGGGUCUGGCCUCGGACUUAAUUGGAACUGAGGUGUAAAGGAAAAGAAAAUUAGUGAUUUUGCAAUUUUUUCCUCCUAAAAGGAACCUUUGUGAGCAGCAUCAAAACAAAUCGCACUGAGAGCUGAGAUGAGGCAUAAUCCUCGCUAGGGUAAAAGCAGUACGGAAAACCCUGUCUUAACAGGCUCUGUUUGCAGGUGGUUCCAUUUUCCGGUCGUGAACUGGUUUGUGCAAAUGGCUCCUUCGGGGCCACUGUUUCCCCCACAGCUACAUGUCGCGGGUUCACAGGCUACUGUGCCACAUUCUCACUUCUUUUUCAUCUCCACGUUGUCUUUGAAGGCCACACUUGAGCAGGCAGCCCUCCCACCUUUUCUGGGCAGUGCCCUGUGAGCAGAAGAGAAGUAGAAACUUCUCGUUUGGUACUGUUCUGGCUCCCAAGGGGCCAUCAGAGGUUUCCCAGGGCUAAGUGUGAAACCAUUGAGGAUUUUCACAGUUGCAAACUGAGCAGAGCCUGCUGCACUAUGUGAAGCCUCAUGGAUGCUCGAAGACUGGCCUAAUCAGAAGGAGGAGGCAAGUGAGAUCACAGACAAAACUGCCAGGGAUGGAAGUAUCUGGGUGAGGAAGAUGCAGAAAAUGGAUGCAGGAAAGCAAGAAAAGAAAGUGGAAGAGAGAGAUGUUGAGAAGACUAUAUAUCUGCAUCGGAUCAUCCUAAGGCCCCACAGCUUACAGAAGAAAUCAAGAUGAGCACAACUCCCUGGUCCCUGAGGGAGAAGGGGUCGUGGAAGAGGCAGAUGUGUAUCGGGAGGGCUGAGCUGGCAGCAAGAGAUGUGUCUGGUGUCUUUCUAAGAAGAAGAGAGUAGGACACAAAUACACUCAGAGGAAAGGCCAUGUGAGGACACAGGGAGAAGGUGGUCAUCUACAAGCCAAAGAGAGAGGCCUCAGAAGAAGCCAACC